rnacentral:rRNA from 1 species
CCUACGGGUGGCAGCAGUGAGGAAUAUUGGUCAAUGGACGCAAGUCUGAACCAGCCAUGCCGCGUGCAGGAAGACGGCUCUAUGAGUUGUAAACUGCUUUUGUACGAGGGUAAACGCAGAUACGUGUAUCUGCCUCAAAGUAUCGUACGAACAAGGAUCGGCUAACCCCGUGCCAGCAGACGCGGCAAUACGGAGGAUUCAAGCGUUAUCCGGAUUUAUUGGGUUUAAGGGGUGCGUAGGCGGUCGGGUAAGUUAGAGGUGAAAUCCCGAGGCUCAACUUCGGAAUUGCCUCUGAUACUGGUCGGCUAGAGAGUAGUUGCGGUAGGUAGAAUGUAUGGUGUAGCGGUGAAAUGCUUAGAGAUCA